rnacentral:rRNA from 1 species
CCUACGGGUGGCAGCAGUGAGGAAUAUUGGUCAAUGGACGGGAGUCUGAACCAGCCAAGCCGCGUGAGGGAUGAAGGUCCAGUGGAUCGUAAACCUCUUUUGUCAGGGAAUAAAACCUGGCACGUGUCCCCUUUUGCGUGUACCUUAUGAAUAAGCAUCGGCUAACUCCGUGCCAGCAGCCGCGGUAAUACGGAGGAUGCGAGCGUUAUCCGGAUUUAUUGGGUUUAAAGGGAGCGCAGGGGGGCUGUUAAGUCAGGUGUGAAAGUUCGGGGCUCAACCGGAACCCAGCAGUUGAAACUGGCAGUCUCGAGUAGGGGAGAGGUAGGCGGAAUGCGCGGUGUAGCGGUGAAAUGCAUAGAUAUCACGAAGAACUCCGAUUGCGAAGGCAGCAUGCUAGACUGUGACUGACGCUGAGGCUCGAAAGCGUGGGUAUCGAACAGGAUUAGAUACCCCGGUAGUC